rnacentral:rRNA from 1 species
GACGGAGGAGGCUAGCGUUGUUCGGAAUUACUGGGCGUAAAGCACAUGAAGGUGGUGAAGUAAGCCGGAUGUGAAAUCCCAGGGCUUAACCCUGGAAGUGCAUCCGGGACUGCUUUGCUCGAGUCCGGAAGAGGAGGGCGGAAUUCCCAGUGUAGAGGUGAAAUUCGUAGAUAUUGGGAAGAACACCAGUGGCGAAGGCGGCUACCUGGCUUGGUACUGACGCUCAGGUGCGAAAGCGUGGGGAGCGAACAGGAUUAGAAACCCUAGUAGU